AGCUUUGCGCAGUGGCAGUAUUGUAGCCAAUGAGGUUAAUAUGAGGUGUGAUUAUUGCUAAUUGAAAACUUUUCCCAUUUUGGGUUCAAACUUGAACAAGGGAAGUUUAAGUUAGAUAGAAGGAGGAAGUUCUUUACAGUG
rnacentral:snRNA from 1 species